rfam:Metarhizium album ARSEF 1941 scaffold_34, whole genome shotgun sequence.
ACAUACGACCACAGCCGCUAGUAAAGCUCAGAAACCCGUCCGAUCUUCCAGGAGAAUCUAGCGAGCGCUAGAUUAGUAGCUAGGUUGGUGACAACUAGCGAAUACCUAGUGUUGUAUGUU